GCAGAAGAAUCUGGACAGCGUUGUUCUUCGGGCGUUCGGGACUCGAUCGUGAUUUUUUGGUUGCUGCAGUUUCCAGAGACUUUAGGACGAAUAGUGGUGGUCCUAAAGUGAUAAAUUCGCAACUCUCAUAAUUUACGGACUCAGAUAGUCCGCUCUGGUAUAUUGGCUUAACUUAUUUUUAAAUUUCAGCAUUAGCAGAUCAUCGUGUGGGGUGAUCGUUA
rnacentral:lncRNA from 1 species